UACGUAGGGUGCAGGCGUUAAUCGGAAUUACUGGGCGUAAAGCGUGCGCAGGCGGUUUGCUAAGACAGGUGUGAAAUCCCCGGGCUUAACCUGGGAACUGCGCUUGUUACUGGCAGGCUUGAGGUUGGGAGAGGGAUGCGGAAUUCCAGGUGUAGCGGUGAAAUGCGUAGAUAUCGGAAGGAACGCCGGUGGCGAAAGCGGCGAUGGCUGGAC
rnacentral:rRNA from 1 species